UACGGAGGGUGCGAGCGUUAAUCGGAAUAACUGGGCGUAAAGGGCACGCAGGCGGGCCUUUAAGUGAGGUGUGAAAUCCCCCGGCUUAACCUGGGAAUAGCAGUGCAAACUGGGAGUCUAGAGGAAUGUAGGGGGGGGUAGAAUUCCAAGUGUAGCGGUGAAAUGCGUAGAGAUGUGGAGGAAUACCGAAGGCGAGGGCGGCCCCCUGGGAAUGUACUGACGCUCAGGUGCGAAAGCGUGGGGAGCAAACAGG
rnacentral:rRNA from 1 species